AUGAGUUCGAUUGGAAGGGUUUCCAGCUGUGGUAAUGUGGCAGUUGAUGCUGCUGCGGCAGCUUUGGCCAAGGUGUCACUUGUUAAUGGAGAAGGAAGUGGUGGGAAUGCAGGUGAAGGGCGUGGUACGGUUGAUAGCAAAGGAAAUGCUAGUGGAAUAAAUGAGACGUGCAAAGUCGGUGGUGUCUUCUGCUCUCCUCAUAUCGGUGCCGACAGUGUUGAAGGUAUUUCGUCGCCGGAUGUUAACGAUUUCAUCAUGCAAUCUUGCCGUCACAUCAAUGCCCAACAUGUUGCGCCUAAUUCCCCACUGAUGCACAACAUGGCCGCGCCUCCCAAUGUUGAACCAUGUAGAGCUUCCGAUGGAGACAACUUUGUGUGCAGUCUGACUCCACUAUGGUGCGAUACGCAAUCGCAGUCAGUCAUUGGCAAUGAGAUUGUUACACAGGAUUAUAUGGUCUCACAGCAGUUAAGGAAUGAGGAGAUAAGGCUGCUAGAGAAGCGGAAAUUUUUUCAGAGAAAGUAG
rnacentral:rRNA from 1 species